rnacentral:rRNA from 1 species
AUGGCCAUCGUCGCCACGGCGCCGUUCCGGGAGGCGCCCGACGACGUCGUGGACGAGAUCCUGCUCCGCCUGCCGUGCCCCUCCUCCCUCAUGCGCGCCGCCGCGGCCUGCGCCUCGUUCCGCCUCCUCGUCUCCUCCCCGCGCUUCCUCCGCCGCCACCGCGCGCUCCACCCGGACGCGGCGGCGCCCUUCCUCGGGGUCUUCUCCUCGGUCCCCGCGCCCGGCGAGUCGGGGGCCGCCUUCCACCCCUCCGACCCGCCCCAUCCGGCCGCGGCGGCCGCGCGCGACGUCGCCGGUGCCGCGGACUUCUCCUUCGCGUUCCUCCCGACGCCGCCCGACGCCGAGCGCCCCGGUUGGCUCGUCCGGGACUACUGCGACGGGCGCUUCCUCCUCGACCGGGCGUCCUCCUGCUCCGCCUUCGACAGCGACAUCGUCACGGAUCUCGCCGUCUGCGACCCCGUGUCCCGCCGCUACGUCCUGCUCCCGCCCAUCCCAGAGGACCUCGCCGCCAGCGCCGACAACCCGCUCGGCGUCCUCGGCGGCCGGCGCUGGUGCGAGCCCUUCCUCGCGCCGGCCGACGCCGAGGGGGGCAAGGACGAGGAGGAGCCCUCGUUCGUGGUGAUUUGGACGGCGCGGUGCCCGAGGAAGGUCGUGGCGCUCGCCUUCUCGUCGCGGGACGGGCGGUGGCGCGCGCUCCCGUCGCCGGACUGCUUCGUCUGGAGGCGCCACCGGUCGCCCUUCUCCUGCCCGGUGCACGCGGUCUGGAACCGGCGGCACUACGCGCACGGCCGCUUCUACUGGGCGGACUGCCUCACCAACCGCUGGCUGGUGCUCGACAUCGGCGCCAUGGAGCUCUCCGUCCAGGAGGUCCCUGCGCCGGCCAGGUUCUGGGAAGAGAACGUCGCCGUCGUGGAAGGCGCGAACGGCGAAGUCGGCGUGUUCGCGCACGAAUUCUACCACGCCAACGGCAACGCCAACCUCAACUACUACACGAUCCCGCGCGACGCCGACGGCGCGGCGAAGUCGUGGCGGCUCGAGAAGACGAUCCCGCUGCCGUGGUCGACGGCGCACGGCCGGCCGUUCUGCAUUCGCGGCGCGGCCAACGGGUGCUUGAUCAUUGAAGUCAACCAAGACUCGCCGCGGCCGUUCAUGUCGUCGAGCCACGACAGCCGGGACGUCGAGCUGUUUAAGAUCGACGUCGGGCGCCUCGAGCUGGAGAGAGUCUGCCGGGCGCGGUGCUCCGGCGGCGUCAGCGACGGCUGGUGGCCGUACUUUGGCUUCCCGCCGUUGCUGAGCUUGCCAACUGUUUGA